UACGAGGGGGGCGAGCGUUGUUCGGAAUUAUUGGGCGUAAAGGGUGCGUAGGCGGUUUGGUAAGUCUUAUGUGAAAUCUACAGGCCCAACUUGUAGUCUGCAUGAGAAACUGCCGGGCUUGAGUAUGGGAGAGGUGAGUGGAAUUCCUGGUGUAGCGGUGAAAUGCGUAGAUAUCAGGAGGAACACCUGUGGCGAAAGCGGCUCACUGGACCAUAACUGACGCUGAUGCACGAAAGCUAGGGGAGCAAACAGG
rnacentral:rRNA from 1 species